AAGGAUCAUUACCGAGUUCAUGCCCUUACGGGUAGAUCUCCCACCCUUUGUAUACUAUACCUUUGUUGCUUUGGCGGGCCGCCUAGCUACUGGCUUCGGCUGGUAUGUGCCCGCCAGAGGACCCAAAACCCUGAAUUAUUAGUGUCGUCUGAGUAAAAUAUUUAAAACUUUCAACAACGGAUCUCUUGGUUCUG
rnacentral:misc_RNA from 1 species